UACGUAGGGUGCAAGCGUUGUCCGGAAUUAUUGGGCGUAAAGGGCGCGUAGGCGGCCUUCUAAGUCAGACGUGAAAUCCCCCGGCUUAACCUGGGAACUGCGUCUGAUACUGGGAGGCUUGAGUAUGGGAGAGGGAUGUAGAAUUCCAGGUGUAGCGGUGAAAUGCGUAGAUAUCUGGAGGAAUACCGGUGGCGAAGGCGGCAUCCUGGACCAUAACUGACGCUGAGGCGCGAAAGCUAGGGGAGCAAACGGG
rnacentral:rRNA from 1 species